AUUGAACGCUGGCGGCAGGCCUAACACAUGCAAGUCGAGCGGCAGCGGGAAAGUAGCUUGCUACUUUUGCCGGCGAGCGGCGGACGGGUGAGUAAUGCCUGGGAAAUUGCCCAGUCGAGGGGGAUAACAGUUGGAAACGACUGCUAAUACCGCAUACGCCCUACGGGGGAAAGCAGGGGACCUUCGGGCCUUGCGCGAUUGGAUAUGCCCAGGUGGGAUUAGCUAGUUGGUGAGGUAAUGGCUCACUCAGGCGACGAUCCCUAGCUGGUCUGAGAGGAUGCUCAGCCACAGUGGAACUGAGACAGGGUCCAGACUCAUACGGGGGGCAGCAGUGGGGAAUAUUGCACAAUGGGGGAAACCCUGAUGCAGCCAUGCCGCGUGUGUAAAGAAGGCCUUCGGGUUGUAAAGCACUUUCAGCGAGGAGGAAAGGUUGAUGCCUAAUACGUAUCAACUGUGACGUUACUCGCAGAAGAAGCACCGGCUAACUCCGUGCCAGCCGCCGCCGUAAAAC
rnacentral:rRNA from 1 species